GCAAACAUUUAGGGGGAUGGCAUCCACAUCUGCCAGGAGUGGGGACAAAAAGGACAUCAGGUCAUCUCAAGCUGCCGCCUCCUUAGGUGGAGGGCAGAAACUCUCAUUAUCCCGCUCUGAAGAAUUCCUGUCCCGAAUCAGCACAGAACUUACAGAUGAAGCACUGUUUAUUGCUCGCUCCCAUUUGAGUAUACUGCCCAAUAAGGAAAAGAAUACAAAAGACCAAGGGACUCAGAUAUCUAGACCUGUGUUCUUCACCAAGACCCAAGGCACUGACACCCGCUCUGACAAAAAUCGAACCCGAACCAAGGCACACCUUCUGCCAUCUCCUCGUGAAAAGGGACCACUCCCCAACAGCCUGACAACGGGAGGAUGAGCGCAGUCCUCCCUAGUACCGCUCUCUCUUGGCUUCUUGCCUUCCCCCACUAUGUCCCUCAAUGAAAACCUCAAAGCCCCUCUUUUGCAGCUGGCUAAGCCUCUCAUCUUGGGAGGAACUCCUGGUCAUAAGCAAUGCCACCUUUGAAACCAAGAAAAUCUGGAACUGUUGCAGGGCCCUCCACCCUCCCUGGGCAAACGCCACUGAGAAGAAAAGGUUUCAAUAAAGAACCAGGAUGCCCGCU
rnacentral:lncRNA from 1 species